AUACGUAGGGGGCGAGCGUUGUCCGAAUUUACUGGGCGUAAAGGGCGCGUAGGCGGUGAAUUAAGUUGGUGGUGAAAGUCCAAGGCUCAACCUUGGAAUUGCUUCCAAUACUGGUUGACUUGAGGCAUGAAUGGGGAAGUAGAAUUCCGGGUGUAGCGGUGAAAUGCGUAGAUAUUCGGAGGAAUACCGGUGGCGAAGGCGGCUUCCUGGUCAUGUCCUGACGCUGAGGUGCGAAAGCUAGGGUAGCGAACGGGAUUAGAUACCCCGGUAGUCUUAGCCGUAAACGAUGGAUACUAGUUGUCAUAGGUAUCGACCCCUGUGGUGACGAAGCAAACGCAUUAAGUAUCCCGCCUGGGGAGUACGGCCGCAAGGUUGAAACUCAAAGGAAUUGACGGGG
rnacentral:rRNA from 1 species